GGGAAGAGAGGAAACAGCUCCUCUCCUGUUAAAGGAUGCCAAGUCUUCAGCUGAGAGCUGUUGAGGAGCACUGAUCCAUCCAUCCUUCCUACUCUGAGAGCCGUUGAGGAGCACUGAUCCAUCCAUCCGUCCUGCUCGUCCAGAUGAAUCUCACCACUGCGACUCCACAGCCUCGGCACAGACUUAUAGGUGGAGUAGACGAGGAGCUGCUCUGUGCCAUGAAGACGAAGGUGAAAGUGUUCUCCUGCCCCAGGCUGAGUGGAGUGCACUGCAUACAAAGAGGCUUCUGGAAACCAAACUACAGCGAAACAGUCAGAUAGCAUCCCACUAGUUGUGAUGCUAAUAUUUGCUGUGACGCAAACACCAACUGUACGUGUUGAAAAUGAAGGUAGACUGAUGUUCAUAUUCUACUAUGGACGGUGUGUGGUACAGACGGACAUCGACUGGAGCAGAACAGGCCCCGAGGACCAUUCAGCUCCUCGUGUGGUGUGUCAGAUGUGUCAUCAUGUGUGUGUCUGUGUGCAUCAAUACUGAAACCAUUAGUCUGUAUUUAUCCACCUACUGCAUCAUGUUAACUCAUUUCAACUGUGAAGAAGUUUUUUUUAAAUAUAUUUUUUAACCUUUAUUUAACUAGGCAAGUCAGUUAAGAACAAAUUAUUAUUUUCAAUGACGGCCUAGUAACAGUGGGUUAACUGCCUGUUCAGGGGCAGAACGACAGAUUUGUACCUUGUCAGCUCGGGAUUUGAACUUGCAACCUUCCAGUUACUAGUCCAACACCUGCCUCCCCAGUGUAGCCUAGGCUGUGUUUAGACAGGCAGCCAAUUCUUAUCUUUUAAUCAUUAUUUUGUCUUUUGACAAAUCAGAUCAGCUCUGAAAAAGAUCCUAUGUGAAAAAAUCUGAUGUUAUUGGUCAAAAGACCAAUUAGUGUAAAAAAUAUCAGAAUUUGUCUGCCUGUGUAAACACAGCCAAAGUAUUCACUUUUUCCUGGUAGAUCUGUGCUUACAUAAAAAAAAUAAAAAAAUUCAAUAGGGAUGUGUGCAUACAUUGUAAAGUUUUAAAAUAUUCAACUUUGAACUGUUUUCUUGUUGCUGCAUGUAGUUAGAAAUUCUAAUCAAGUAAAGUUGUUAAUUGUCUAAACUCUGAAAGUCAUUGGAUAAUAUGGUGCU
ensembl:lncRNA